rfam:TPA: Bos taurus chromosome 25, whole genome shotgun sequence.
UCCCUGGUGGCUCAGACGGUAAAAGUGUCUACCUACAAUGCAGGAGACCUGGGUUCGAUCCCUGGGUAGGGAA